GAGUCUGUGAAUGUCUGCUGUCAGAAAAAAAAAAAUUUAAAGAUAAUAAACGAUUGCCUUGAUGGACUCGUUCAAAACGCAAAAGAGACAAGACAUGUGUUUCACUACUUGAUGCUAUCUUCAUUCUACUGUUUAGUUUCUGACUUUGUUAUCUCUGUUUCUCCCAGGAAACAGAUGUAGAGAACUCCAGCAACGUGACUACUCUAAUCUCAAGGUUCUGCUAUCUUUGAUCUCUUGCAUCAUUACUAAAGGUUAUGAAAGUCUUUUGAUUUUGUUUUCUUGGAUUCAUAGGAUGCAAG
rnacentral:lncRNA from 1 species